rnacentral:rRNA from 1 species
GACGAACGCUGGCGGCGCGCUUAACACAUGCAAGUCGAACAAUGAACCCGGAGCUUGCUCCGGUGGAUUAGUGGUGAACGGGUGAGUAACACGUGAGUAACCUGCCCUUGACUCUGGGAUAACUGCGGAAAACUGUAGCUAAUACCGGAUACGACCCUCGGCGGCAUCGCCAGGGGGUGGAAAGAAUUUCGGUCAAGGAUGGACUCGCGGCCUAUCAGCUAGUUGGUGAGGUAACGGCUCACCAAGGCGACGACGGGUAGCCGGCCUGAGAGGGUGACCGGCCACACUGGGACUGAGACACGGCCCAGACUCCUACGGGAGGCAGCAGUGGGGAAUAUUGCACAAUGGGCGCAAGCCUGAUGCAGCAACGCCGCGUGAGGGAUGACGGCCUUCGGGUUGUAAACCUCUUUUAGUAGGGAAGAAGCGAAAGUGACGGUACCUGCAGAAAAAGCACCGGCUAACUACGUGCCAGCCGCCGCCGUAA